rnacentral:rRNA from 1 species
GCCGCAAGCUAAAUCAAGGAAUGACGGGGCCGCCAAGCGCGAGCAUGCGAUAAUCGAUGCAACGCGAAGAACUUACCUGGGUUUGACAUAAGAGAAAUCCUCCAGAGAUGGGGGUCCGUAAGGGCUCUAUACAGGUGGUGCAUGGCUGUCGUCAGCUCGUGUCGUGAGAUGUUGGGUUAAGUCCCGCAACGAGCGCAACCCUUGUCUUAUGUUGCCAGCACGUCAUGUGGGGACUCAUAAGAGACUGCCGGGGUCAACUCGGAGGAAGGUGGGGAUGACGUCAAGUCAUCAUGCCCCUUAUGUCCAGGGCUUCACGCAUGCUACAAUGGCCGGUACAAAGGGCUGCGAAACUGUAAGGUGGAGCGAAUCCCAAAAAGCCGGUCUCAGUUCGGAUUGGGGUCUGCAACUCGACCCCAUGAAGUCGGAGUCGCUAGUAAUCGCGGAUCAGAUGCCGCGGUGAAUACGUUCCCGGGCCUUGAACACACCGCCCGUC